CAUGUAUUCAGACUUUUCAUUAACUGACGUCAUAAGAAUCUUCUAGAUUCUUCUACUUCUUUCUCAAUCACCAAUGUUUUUUCGGUAUCUCCUAGUUCCUCCAUCCCACUCCAGCCAGGCCCGCCGACCGUAUUUCUGGAUAUAAAAAGAACAAAAAAAUAAGAGGAAAUCAAUCAAGGAAUUCAAGAAAACAUGCGGUUCAUUGCCGAGGCGCGGAAUAGUCACCUCACCCACGAUAAUUUUCCCAACACGGUCCCAGCACGGAUGCGGACCGCCGUGAAAUGUUUAUGAGGUCGCAGGAACGUGUAAGAACGUAAGAAUAGUCGACAUUUUGAUAGUGUUUUUCUAUUGCUACUUUGGUGAUUUAGAGGACGAAUGUGGACAGACGAAAGGACCAUCAUGUUUUCUUAUAAAUACGACUACGUACUCAAUUUAUAAGUCGCCUAACGAGUAUCAAACCUCAUCUAAAAAAAGCAAUUGAUUACGUUGUUCGACAAAAAAUUUUCUCAUUUUUUCGAUUAUUGUAUCAGAUUUUUGAUAUGUUCUACAUUAAACCAAGAUAAUCGCCAUUUAACAUGCCCCGC
rnacentral:lncRNA from 1 species